AAUGAAGCUCCUCACUGUCCUGAAACCAGGAGGACAUUCAGUAAGUGGUCUAUGGUCUCCCACAGAGUUGCCUUUAGACUUCCUGGUUUUUGAGAUUCAGCGUUCCAUGUCACCUUGAGAAAGAAAGUUCUCUGCUGCUGGGGGACGUUUUCCUGGCUACUGGACUCCUGAAAAGGGCUGAGCCUGGAUGAAAGGAGCUUCCCCAAAACUGGUGUUGCCCCUGUAACCAUGCUUGGCUGGUGAGGACCCCUCUCUAGGACCUUUGUCAUAGAUGGAAACUGCUCCCUGGGUGAGGAGGUCCGAGCCUGUGACCAGGAAGAGGGGACAGGACAUUCAUUCUGCUAAGCAUCUCUACGACCCUGGUGUUGAAGCACAGAUGUCAGCUAGUCUUUGGAGACAAUUGAAUCCAGCCCUUUUGCUUUUACAGAAGAGGAAACAAAAUGUCACAAAAUGAGUCACAAAAUGUUGGGAUGAAGAAGCAAAAUCCCCAAAAGAUUUGCCUCAAGUCAGACAGGAAGUUCAGCACCUAACCUGGGAUCAGAACACUUACUUCCUGUGUCUUCUUGCAUGUGAUGCUCCUCACCAGAACCCCUUGGGCUCCACAGAAGGGAUGCUGGCAAGUAAUGUAGAGGACUCAGGGGUCAAGAGUCCCUGAUUCCUAAGGCAAAAUAAUACAUCAUCACAGACCUGUGGCAAGGAGCCAAGAAGAAAAUAGCUACAGAAAACUUCAUGAAGAAUUAAGAUGCUGUGCAAACAUCAGGAAUUUAUUAUGACUAAUUAUUAACAUGAUUACUGUUGCCCAACUGGGUUAACAAAUGCAAGAAGGGUGAUU